rnacentral:rRNA from 1 species
GACGAACGCUGGCGGCGUGCCUAAUACAUGCAAGUAGAACGCUGAAGAGAGGAGCUUGCUCUUCUUGGAUGAGUUGCGAACGGGUGAGUAACGCGUAGGUAACCUGCCUUGUAGCGGGGGAUAACUAUUGGAAACGAUAGCUAAUACCGCAUAACAAUGGAUGACACAUGUCAUUUAUUUGAAAGGGGCAAUUGCUCCACUACAAGAUGGACCUGCGUUGUAUUAGCUAGUAGGUGAGGUAAUGGCUCACCUAGGCGACGAUACAUAGCCGACCUGAGAGGGUGAUCGGCCACACUGGGACUGAGACACGGCCCAGACUCCUACGGGAGGCAGCAGUAGGGAAUCUUCGGCAAUGGGGGCAACCCUGACCGAGCAACGCCGCGUGAGUGAAGAAGGUUUUCGGAUCGUAAAGCUCUGUUGUAAGUCGAGAACGGGUGUGAGAGUGGAAAGUUCACACUGUGACGGUAGCUUACCAGAAAGGGACGGCUAACUACGUG